rnacentral:tRNA from 1 species
GGGCCCAUAGCUCAGUGGAAGAGCGCCUGGUUUGCAGCCAGGAGGCCGCGGGUUCAAAUCCCGCUGGGUCCA